rnacentral:rRNA from 1 species
GAAAACUCCGGUGGUAAUGGAUGGGCAUGCGUUGUAUUAGUUAGUUGGUGGGGUAACGGCUCACCAAGACAACGAUACAUAGGGGGACUGAGAGGUUAACCCCCCACAUUGGUACUGAGACACGGACCAAACUCCUACGGGAGGCAGCAGUGAGGAAUAUUGGUCAAUGGACGCAAGUCUGAACCAGCCAUGCCGCGUGCAGGAAGACGGCUCUAUGAGUUGUAAACUGCUUUUGUACGAGGGUAAACGCAGAUACGCGUAUCUGUCUGAAAGUAUCGUACGAAUAAGGAUCGGCUAACUCCGUGCCAGCAGCCGCGGUAAUACGGAGGAUUCAAGCGUUAUCCGGAUUUAUUGGGUUUAAAGGGUGCGUAGGCGGUCGGAUAAGUUAGAGGUGAAAUCCCGAGGCUCAACUUCGGAAUUGCCUCUGAUACUGUUCGGCUAGAGAGUAGUUGCGGUAGGCGGAAUGUAUGGUGUAGCGGUGAAAUGCUUAGAGAUCAUACAGAACACCGAUUGCGAAGGCAGCUUACCAAGCUACUUCUGACGUUGAGGCACGAAAGCGUGGGGAGCAAACAGGAUUAGAUACCCUGGUAGUCCACGCAGUAAACGAUGAUAACUCGUUGUCGGCGAUACAGUGUCG